rnacentral:rRNA from 1 species
CCUACGGGAGGCAGCAGUGAGGAAUAUUGGUCAAUGGGCGAAAGCCUGAACCAGCCAAGUCGCGUGAGGGAUGAAGGCUCUAUGGAUUGUAAACCUCUUUUAUAUGGGAAUAAAGUGUGGGACGUGUCCUGUUUUGUAUGUACCUUAUGAAUAAGGCUCGGCUAACUCCGUGCCAGCAGCCGCGGUAAUACGGAGGAUCCGAGCGUUAUCCGGAUUUAUUGGGUUUAAAGGGUACGUAGGGGGCUUUUUAAGUCAGCUGUGAAAGUUUGCGGCUCAACCAUAAAAUUGCAGUUGAAACUGGCAGGCUUGAGUACGGUAGAGGCAGGCGGAAUGCGUGGUGUAGCGGGGAAAUGCUUAGAUAUCACGAAGAACGCCGAUUGCGAAGGCAGCCUAC